rnacentral:rRNA from 1 species
UAAUACGUAGGGGGCAAGCGUUGUCCGGAAUUAUUGGGCGUAAAGCGCGCGCAGGCGGUCUUUUAAGUCUGGUGUCUAAGUGCGGGGCUCAACCCCGUGAUGCACUGGAAACUGGGAGACUUGAGUGCAGAAGAGGAGAGCGGAAUUCCACGUGUAGCGGUGAAAUGCGUAGAGAUGUGGAGGAACACCAGUGGCGAAGGCGGCUCUCUGGACUGUAACUGACGCUGAGGCGCGAAAGCGUGGGGAGCAAACAGGAUUAGAUACCCUGGUAGUCCACGCCGUAAACGAUGAGUGCUAGGUGUUGGGGGGGUCCACCCCUCGGUGCCGAAGUUAACACAUUAAGCACUCCGCCUGGGGAGUACGGUCGCAAGACUGAA